UUGACCUCGGAUCAGGUAUGG
rnacentral:rRNA from 1 species